CGAAGUUUUAAUAUUCUUAUUCAUGGGAUAUGUUUUUAGUUAAAGGCAGAUUUAUUUAUAUUUUAAAUACAUAAGCUUGAACGCAAAUAUGUGAGCAUUUUAUUUAUUUUAAUUCAUGGGAAAACUGUGUGGAGUUCAAAAGGAAUGACAGCUAAAAAUCCAGAUAUUUAUGAAGUUCAAAUAGUAAGAUAAUUUGACGUUAGAUAUGGGUGAAGCGCAUAACGAUAACUAGAAGACAAGAUCAAAGUCAAAAUUAGAUUUGUAUAGAUUUCAACAGGAAUGAAAGCUAAAAAGAAAAAAAUGUGGAUCUUGGAUAUUUUAUUCAUGGGUAGAUCAGUGAAGGGUUCAAAAGAAAAGGUCAUGAAGUAGUUCCUCGUCUUGACGUCUGUAAUGCUGUCUAUGGAGGCAGAGUCAACGCUAUAAGACUCUUGUGCCACGUAAAGGACGGAUGAUGUGUUAAAUACGUCGGCUUUACAUCACUCUAUCCAAGGAUCAAUAAAUACUUCCAAGCAUGGUGAUCUUUCGUUUCUAUCGAACUUCUAAAAUCAAUGAAACAACACGAGUACUGUGAAUCGAUAAGUGAGCAUGCGUAAAGAUAACUCAGCAUCUAUCAGCGUCACAAGUUUGUGUUUUGAGCAAGCUCGUAAAGAACAGAAUGGUCUAUUGGAAUUCAAUGAAACCAGACAUCCGACACUUGACAUAAAAUCCAGCUAAUAACAAUUGUAUACUAGAGAAAAUGUUUACACCUGAAUAAAAAACUUUGAAAAAAUCUAGUUUCAAAGUAAAUAAUUUCCUAAUACAGCAGAGAAAAGUAGAAAUUCAAGGGAAAAUAUUUAUCAGGUUUUCAAUGGAAUAUUUUCGGUUCAAGAACAGGGUAUUUUAUGACAUAGAUUUAAAAGAGGUUUUUAACUUAGUUAAGAAGAUGUAAUAUAAAUUUCACUACAAAGUAAAUUUGGGAGGUCACUAACGUAUUUUUAGCAUGGUUACUUAAAUAUUAUAACAAUUUCG